rnacentral:rRNA from 1 species
GAUGAACGCUGGCGGCGUGCCUAAUACAUGCAAGUCGAGCGAACGGACGAGAAGCUUGCUUCUCUGAUGUUAGCGGCGGACGGGUGAGUAACACGUGGAUAACCUACCUAUAAGACUGGGAUAACUUCGGGAAACCGGAGCUAAUACCGGAUAAUAUUUUGAACCGCAUGGUUCAAAAGUGAAAGACGGUCUUGCUGUCACUUAUAGAUGGAUCCGCGCUGCAUUAGCUAGUUGGUAAGGUAACGGCUUACCAAGGCAACGAUGCAUAGCCGACCUGAGAGGGUGAUCGGCCACACUGGAACUGAGACACGGUCCAGACUCCUACGGGAGGCAGCAGUAGGGAAUCUUCCGCAAUGGGCGAAAGCCUGACGCAGCAAUGCCGCGUGAGUGAUGAAGGUCUUCGGAUCGUAAAACUCUGUUAUUAGGGAAGAACAUAUGUGUAAGUAACUGUGCACAUCUUGACGGUACCUAAUCAGAAAGCCACGGCUAACUACGUG